rfam:Anisakis simplex genome assembly, scaffold: ASIM_contig0000576
GAUCAGGUGGCCGAGUGGUUAAGGCGAUGGACUGCUAAUCCACGGGGUUUCCCCGCGUGAGUUCGAAUCUCAUCCUGAUCG